UUGUUUGACCUCGGAUCAGGUAGGGAUACCCGCUGAACUUAAGCA
rnacentral:rRNA from 1 species